rnacentral:rRNA from 1 species
GCACAAGCGGUGGAGCAUGUGUUUAAUUCGAUGAUACGCGAGGAACCUUACCUGGGCUCAAAUGUAUGUUGACGUAUUCUGAAAGGGAUACUUCUUCGGACAAUAUACAAGGUGCUGCAUGGUUGUCGUCAGCUCGUGCCGUGAGGUGUCGGGUUAAGUCCCAUAACGAGCGCAACCCCUAUCAUUAGUUGCCAUCAGGUCAAGCUGGGGACUCUAAUGAAACUGCCUACGCAAGUAGUGAGGAAGGUGGGGAUGACGUCAAGUCAUCAUGGCCCUUACGGCCUGGGCUACACACGUGCUACAAUGGUCGGUACAAAGGGUUGCCAAGCCGCGAGGUGGAGCUAAUCCCAUAAAACCGAUCGUAGUCCGGAUCGCAGUCUGCAACUCGACUGCGUGAAGUCGGAAUCGCUAGUAAUCGUGAAUCAGAAUGUCACGGUGAAUACGUUCCCGGGCCUU